GGAAGAAGGAAAUCUAUCCCAUAUUGAAAGCUGAAAUGCAAGAAAGGAUGAGGGGCAACAGAAAGAAUAUAAAUUGUUCCACCAUCUUGAAACAGACCAAGGCGCUUGGGUGAUCCAUUGGCCACAUUUGCCGAAGUUCUUCACAAGAUCUCUAUCCAACUUCACCUUGUCUCUUAGCAUAGAGAUGAGGACGGCCACAGGGUAGUGAAGAGGGCAACAUACACCAUUCUUUCAAGGAGCUCUAAGGUCUCCCACCCACCCCACCUGAACCUGCUGGCCGGCAGUCCAGGCCUGGGCCUCACCAACUCCAGAAUCAUUCACAAGAACAUGGUCACACAGGAGACCUGUGCUCCUUUCUCCAUUCUUCUUCUCUAACGCCAGUCAGCAAACCCACCACCUGAAAAAGCUUCAACUGCCCACGAGGGCCUAGAGGAAAGAGCUUCUUAGGAAUCACCCCCUGCAGUCUGUCGUGGGUGGAUCACCCUACAAUGUCUUAUGCAAAAGGCUAAUUCUACCCCUUCUGGGUGCUUAUCUCAAUGGAGCCCCAAAGCCUUAAGAACCAGAUGGCGUUAACCAAUUUAUGUUCCGGGAAGUGCAGGUCCAGGCUAACCCAUGCGGCUGGUUUCACGGAGGCCCAGAAGGCCCUCUGGUUGAAGAUGGCUGGUCUCUUAACUUCUUUAUCCUGAACCUGGUCUUGGCGGCCAACACCUCUGAGGCCAUUCCCUCUGGGGAGUGGUGGCUGGCUGUUCCUUGUGUUGUCCACUUGUGGAAAACCCAAAGCAGUAACAGUUGUGUUCCUAAGCCCUUGCUCCCCAAAGACCAUGGGUGUUCCUCCAUUGUUUG
rnacentral:lncRNA from 1 species